UCCGGCUUAUCACCGGCAGUCCCUCUAGAGUGCCCAACUAAAUGAUGGCAACUAAAGGCGAGGGUUGCGCUCGUUGCGGGACUUAACCCAACAUCUCACGACACGAGCUGACGACAGCCAUGCAGCACCUGUCACUCAUCCAGCCGAACUGAAGGUAAUCAUCUCUGAAAACCGCGAUGAGGAUGUCAAACGCUGGUAAGGUUCUGCGCGUUGCUUCGAAUUAAACCACAUGUUCCACCGCUUGUGCAGGCCCCCGUCAAUUUCUUUGAGUUUCAACCUUGCGGCCGUACUCCCCAGGCGGAGUGCUUAACGCGUUAGCUGCGACACCGAAGCCCUAAGGACCCCGACGUCUAGCACUCAUCGUUUACGGCUGGGACUAC
rnacentral:misc_RNA from 1 species